UUGACUACUCAAGUGCACUGUCAACAGUUUAAAACAAACUCAUAGCUCUGUUUGUCAGAGAGCUGCAGGAAACAGCUUUAAUUUAACCGGCAGCAACUACAGUUCAAGCUUUUGCUGGUUUCUGUUUUGAUUCUGGUCAUGUGUACUGAUGCCAUGUUUUACACACCCUCUCUGUCUUUCUUUACAACUCUUAAGGGUGUAAUCUCUUUCUUGUAAUACCUAAUACUUGCUAUCAGCAGCAAGCUAGCACAGUGUGAGUGCUAAGUAGCAGGAUUACUAGUUACCUAGCAUAAUACCUAGCUACCUUGCUUGCUAGCAAGCAAAAUAAAAUCCCAUCCGCUGUCACAGACAGAUGGAUUCUCGUUGUCUCUCGGUAAUGGCCAUGUCUGUCACACGAUUGCGCAAGAGGAGUUCCCUGCUGAAAAAUCCAUCUUGGUGUGACAAGAUACCAGCUGCCAAAACUGGCCAUGCUAGCAGACCAUCUUUGCUAGCUAGAUUAUGUUGACAACAAGACCAUUUUUUCAAGACAAUUGCAUCCGAUUGCAGUGGCUCCUGAGUCAGUUCUGUUUCUGAUGUCUACACUGAUGCUGACUCAAUCCCACGGACCACCAAGGAGUCUCUGUUAGAAACUGUCGGAAGACAACAUCCUGUUCACACACCGACACCAUGGUGACCAGUGACAUCAUGGAGACAGAAAUCCUCAUCCCUAUAUAAACAGUUAACUUCAGAAUUAUUGGCACCCUUUAUGGAAAUGAGCAACCAUGAAUAGCUGCAAUGCAAUA